UACGUAGGGUGCAAGCGUUGUCCGGAAUUAUUGGGCGUAAAGAGCUCGUAGGCGGUCUGUCGCGUCUGGUGUGAAAACUCAAGGCUUAACCUUGGGCCUGCAUCGGGUACGGGCAGACUAGAGUGCGGUAGGGGAGACUGGAAUUCCUGGUGUAGCGGUGAAAUGCGCAGAUAUCAGGAGGAACACCGGUGGCGAAGGCGGUUCUCUGGGCAUUACCUGACGCUGAGGAGCGAAAGUGUGGGGAGCGAACAGG
rnacentral:rRNA from 1 species